CGAUGAGAAACACGCGCGGGCUUGCUGCUCUGCGAGGAGCUCGAGGAGAGGAGACGGCGGUCGCGCGGAGGGGGAGCAGCUCGCCGUGCAGCACGCGAUUUAACUCCGGAAUUCUGCACCCACACCAGCGGCCUGUUCCCGUUUAAACGGAUGGAAACGAGGCUGAUCACGACCCUCCCCGUGAUGAUGAUGAUGUCUUCAGGAGACCCAGACAGCUGGAGUCUCCCCAGCUCUCGUCCCCUCGCCUGAUGCUGCUCUCCGGGCCGGCCCCCCCUCCAGGGACCACAGACUCCACCGCCGUCUCACUGGGGAUGAUUUGAUUGAUAGGGAACUUUGAUUUGCGACAGAGGAUCUAUCCUCCUCCUCUGCCCCCCCUCUCCCCC
ensembl:lncRNA